rnacentral:lncRNA from 1 species
AGCCAUCAAUACAUUUUUUGCUAAGAAUGGUUAUCGAUUAAUGGAUUCUAGUAUGUAUACUCAACCCAUUCAGACUCCAACCCAGUAUCCCUCGCCAGUCUUCAUGCAGCCAGUGUACAAUCCACAUCAGCAGUACUCAGUGUAUAGUAUUGUGCCCCCGUCUUGGUCUCCAAGUCCUGCACCGUACUUUGAAACACCACUGGCUCCCUUUCCCAAUGGUAGCUUUGUGAAUGGCUUUAGUUCACCGGGAUCUUAUAAAACAAAUGCUGCUGCUAUGAAUAUGGGCCGACCAUUCCAAAAAAAUCGUGUGAAGCCUCAUUUUAGGUCAUCUAGUGGUUCAGAACACUCAACAGAUGGAUCUGUGUCAUUGGGGGAUGGACCGUUGAGCAGAUC